CUAUGACAAAUGCCUCCUAAAUUGGCGAGAACCCGACUUUAUGAAAAUACUUAUACUUUCUAGUUCGAUCAAAGGAUUAUCACCUCGGACAUAGGAAGUAAGAAGCCAAAUGUUUGUGCAUUAAACCAGCCUCAAGACAUGUGGCAUCAUUAUACGAGAUCAAAGGGAUGUCAAUCUAAAAGCAUCAGAUCCCAGCACACUAAUUUACCAGUUCAUAGAUUC
rnacentral:lncRNA from 1 species